rnacentral:lncRNA from 1 species
AUGCUUCACCGCUCUGCUUCUCCCUCCAGAGGUCAAGAACACAGGAUCCUGCUGGAAAUGACAUUUUGGAUCUCCUUCACCAGUGGGACAGAUGGGCUGCCCUCACCAAGCCUCUCACAGAGCGGAGCUUUACUAGCCACUUGGUCGAUGCCGUCAUUGCAACAAAAACUCUUACCAAUUCACGAAAAUUUCAGGGACUCCGAAACUGGCAAGAAUUUCUGGGAAAUCACAGGGAAAUUUGUUGGCAACAUGAUUAAUCCUGGGUGGAUUAGUCCCGGAAAAACACAUGUGGGUGUGCAGCAAGCAGCAACUUGCAGAACUUCACAAAAUAAACCGUUCAGCAGAGAGGCCUUGCCGUACAAGUUUGGGGCUAGAGCUAGAGUGCGGGUGGGGCCUGGCCACUGAGGAAACGGUUACGGACCGCCUUUGAAUCCACUCGUAUUCAGAAGCCAGGGGCCGACGGGAUUAAAACACAGAAGCAGAGCACAACACUGAUGAGGAAAGCUCAGAGGGCUGUGGAGCCCGGGAGUAGGAUAAUUAAACUCAUCACCAUAAUUACCCCCAGCCCAGCUCCCCCACAAGAGCCCACAAGACAAGAGCCCGGCUCAGUGAAGUUAUUCAUCCACGUUCACGCUGCCUGGUCAUUGUCCUCCCACAAAAACCCCACAGGGCCUCGGCUCCCUGCCCAGCUCCACAGCCGGCCCAGGUGGAGCUUCUGUCUUGGGCAGCAGAGUUUCUAGCCCCAGACUUGGUUAUUCCGUCAGAUAACGUGCCACCUUUUCAGAGUACACUGUGACUUUUGGGUGAUAAUUACUGCUAACCCUUCCCUGGGAGAGACGGCAGCCCCCUGGCUGUCUUUCCUUAGAAGAGCUGGGCUCAGUUUGGGGACCUCCCACAGCUU